GACGAACGCUGGCGGCGUGCCUAAUACAUGCAAGUCGAGCGGACAGAAGGGAGCUUGCUCCCGGAAGUUAGCGGCGGACGGGUGAGUAACACGUGGGCAACCUACCCUGUAGAUCGGGAUAACAUCGAGAAAUCGGUGCUAAUACCGGAUAAUCAUUUGAAGUGCAUGCUUCGAAUGUAAAAGAUGGCUCCGGCUAUCACUACGGGAGGGGCCCGCGGCGCAUUAGCUAGUUGGUAAGGUAAUGGCUUACCAAGGCAACGAUGCGUAGCCGACCUGAGAGGGUGAUCGGCCGCACUGGGACUGAGACACGGCCCAGACUCCUACGGGAGGCAGCAGUAGGGAAUCUUCCGCAAUGGACGAAAGUCUGACGGAGCAACGCCGCGUGAGUGAUGAAGGUUUUCGGAUCGUAAAGCUCUGUUGUUAGGGAAGAACAAGUGCCGUUUGAAUAAGGCGGCACCUUGACGGUACCUAACCAGAAAGCCACGGCUAACUACGUGCCAGCCGCCGCAGUAAAAC
rnacentral:rRNA from 1 species